UGCAAGUCGAGCGGACAGAUGGGAGCUUGCUCCCUGAUGUUAGCGGCGGACGGGUGAGUAACACGUGGGUAACCUGCCUGUAAGACUGGGAUAACUCCGGGAAACCGGGGCUAAUACCGGAUGGUUGUUUGAACCGCAUGGUUCAAACAUAAAAGGUGGCUUCGGCUACCACUUACAGAUGGACCCGCGGCGCAUUAGCUAGUUGGUGAGGUAAUGGCUCACCAAGGCAACGAUGCGUAGCCGACCUGAGAGGGUGAUCGGCCACACUGGGACUGAGACACGGCCCAGACUCCUACGGGAGGCAGCAGUAGGGAAUCUUCCGCAAUGGACGAAAGUCUGACGGAGCAACGCCGCGUGAGUGAUGAAGGUUUUCGGAUCGUAAAGCUCUGUUGUUAGGGAAGAACAAGUACCGUUCGAAUAGGGCGGUACCUUGACGGUACCUAACCAGAAAGCCACGGCUAACUACGUGCCAGCAGCCGCGGUAAUACGUAGGUGGCAAGCGUUGUCCGGAAUUAUUGGGCGUAAAGGGCUCGCAGGCGGUUUUCUUAAGUCUGAUGUGAAAGCCCCCGGCUCAACCCGGGGAGGGUCAUUGGAAACUGGGGAACUUGAGUGCAGAAGAGGAGAGUGGAAUUCCACGUGUAGCGGUGAAAUGCGUAGAGAUGUGGAGGAAC
rnacentral:rRNA from 1 species